AUUGAACGCUGGCGGCAGGCCUAACACAUGCAAGUCGAGCGGUAGCACAGAGAGCUUGCUCUCGGGUGACGAGCGGCGGACGGGUGAGUAAUGUCUGGGAAACUGCCUGAUGGAGGGGGAUAACUACUGGACACGGUAGCUAAUACCGCAUAAUGUCGCAAGACCAAAGUGGGGGACCUUCGGGCCUCAUGCCAUCAGAUGUGCCCAGAUGGGAUUAGCUGGUAGGUGGGGUAACGGCUCACCUAGGCGACGAUCCCUAGCUGGUCUGAGAGGAUGACCAGCCACACUGGAACUGAGACACGGUCCAGACUCCUACGGGAGGCAGCAGUGGGGAAUAUUGCACAAUGGGCGCAAGCCUGAUGCAGCCAUGCCGCGUGUGUGAAGAAGGCCUUCGGGUUGUAAAGCACUUUCAGCGGGGAGGAAGGCGGUGAGGUUAAUAACCUCAUCGAUUGACGUUACCCGCAGAAGAAGCACCGGCUAACUCCGUGCCAGCCGCCGCGGUAAUAC
rnacentral:rRNA from 1 species